rnacentral:lncRNA from 1 species
AUCUAAACUACAGCACAGGGCAGGAAUAGAGCCUGCCUUACACACUCGCCAAGAGGGGUUAGGAGUGUCUUGUUUUCUCCCCAUGAAAAAGCUCUUCUUAAAAUUAUUAUACCUUGCAGAAAAAGAAGGAAAAAGACAUGAAAUUCCUGCAUCAUUAUGAUGGUAGCCCUGUGUAACUAUGAAGGAAUAACUCAAAAAUUCGUGGUGGAGAGGCCCAUGUAUUUCUGCUUUCUCUCCAGAGGACAGGAUGGACUGUGUGUGUUCCAAAUGAUGGAUGGUAUGGUGCUGACUGUGCUGUGGGCAGUAGUUAUUGCCAAUUCAUCUCGCUACAAACUUUCUAUCAUACAAAUACAUCCGAUACUGCCCUACCUAUAUCUUUUGGUACCACUCAUUUAUGUCACAGCAGGAAUUCUGAACAUUGUGGCUGCAAAUAGACAGAAUCCCAAAUUGAUUACGGCCUUUAGAGUGUUCAAAUUUGUUACGUUUCAGGCUUCCCUGAUAUUCUCCAUAAUGCAUGGUGUAGAUACAUUUGAAGUUGCAGGGAGAAGGGGUGUAUUUCCUGUAGAUGUCCUAUCUUUUUUCCUCUCGUGGUUUCAGUUGAUCUUCCUGCUUUCCUGUUUGGCUCCCUCUAUCGCACGGAUAAAAACCAUGUGCUGGCAGAUGAUCUACUUAUGGUGAAUUGAGGUUGAACUCUCCCUUCCUGCACAAGACCAAGACUGACAUGUAUGGCAGUCCCACUCCAUGAAGUGAUUUGAGAGAGUGCCUUCAUGUGCUUUUCUUGGUCUUUUUUGCCAUUGCAUCAUCCAGGAAAUUCUUAUUUACAUAAUAAAUAGGAGCUGAAGUCUUCUAAGGAAAAUAACUGUCACUGAAUUGCUGAUAUUGACUUUUCUAUGGUUUGUACUCUAACCCCAAUGUGAAUACCUUUGAGGAUGGGUACAGAACUGAUGUGGGUACAUACCCUUGUUACCUAAACCAGAAACAUAUCCAGAAGGCUGUCAGUAUUGCAACCUGAUUUCUGAAAAUACUCAGACUAUAUCCUUACAUCCCAUGGCUCAUUGUGGU